CUAUUAGGUUGGUUCAAAAGUAAUUGUGGUUUUUGCCAUUGAAAGUAAUGCGAAACUGCAAUUACUUUUGUUCCAACCUAAUAACUCAUUGUUUGAACAAAACU
rnacentral:miRNA from 10 species